rnacentral:lncRNA from 1 species
ACCCUCACAUCCCUGAACAGCGUGACUGCUUAUGGUUUUGACCUUAUCCGUGGAGCCAAGACUCUUGACCUUAUCAAGAGUGCUGGUUUCCCCUCUGGAAAGUACCUCUUUGCCGGUGUUGUGGAUGGACGCAACAUCUGGGCUGAUGAUCUCGCUGCAUCUCUCACUACCCUUGAGUCUCUUGAGGCUAUUGUUGGAAAGGGUAAGCAAUUAAGCAUGAAGUUAUUAUAUCUGUUAUAUUUUAAUAGGUACAAUUUGCUGUAUCCAAUAAUAUCCUCAAUUUCUGCACAUCCAACAAUACCUUUCAUUUCUGCAGACAAGCUUGUGGUCUCGACUUCCUGCUCACUCAUGCACACCGCUGUGGAUCUUGUAAAUGAGACCAAGCUCGAUAGCGAGAUUAAGUCAUGGCUCGCUUUUGCUGCCCAAAAGGUGGUUGAGGUGAAUGCCCUUGCUAAGGCAUUGGCUGGACAGAAGGAUGAGGUAUGGUACUCUCUUUCACCCUUUAUUUAUUCUCUCACCUCUUAGUAAGAGAUCAGGCUUAGUUCUCAAUAUUAUUCGGAGAAACUUCUGCUGCUGCUCAGGCUUACUUUUGUACAUUUGUAAACAAUAUUGUACAGGCUUACUUUGCAGCAAACGCUGCUGCUCAGGCCUCCAGGAGGUCAUCACCUCGUGUGACAAACGAGGAAGUCCAAAAGGCUGUAAGUACCUUGCGUUUUUGGCCAGCAUUUGCUGAUUUCAUAUCAACAUAACUUCACAUGUUUUUCUUAAACACAUGAUAUUGUUUGUGAAGGCUGCUGCUCUGAAGGGGUCUGACCACCGCCGUGCUACCAAUGUUAGCGCUAGACUGGACGCACAGCAGAAGAAGCUCAACCUUCCAGUCCUUCCUACAACCACAAUUGGUUCAUUCCCACAGACUGUGGAGCUCAGGAGAGUCCGCCGUGAGUACAAGGCAAAAAAGUGAGUAACAGUCCACAUCAACGCUUCACUUGUUUCCCUUCUUUCGUCUAUAUUACUCAUAGCAAAAUACUGCUACAGGAUCUCUGAGGAGGAGUACAUCAGUGCCAUCAAGGAGGAAAUCAGCAAGGUUGUUAAGAUCCAGGAAGAGCUUGACAUCGAUGUCCUUGUUCACGGCGAGCCUGAGGUCAGUAUCCUUGUGUACUGUUUGUGUUUUCUAGACUUUGCACCUGGCUGUUUGAGAAAACAAAAUAAAUAUAUUUAUUGAAGCAUUAACAAAGUUUGGUUUGUUCUGCAUUGAAGUAAGCUAAUUGGCAUGUAUUUUAUACUUUCAGAGAAACGAUAUGGUUGAGUACUUCGGUGAGCAGCUUUCUGGUUUUGCAUUCACUGCCAACGGAUGGGUGCAAUCUUAUGGAUCACGGUGUGUCAAGCCACCAAUUAUCUAUGGUGAUGUGAGCCGCCCCAACCCCAUGACUGUGUUCUGGUCCAAGUUGGCGCAGAGCAUGACCUCUCGCCCCAUGAAGGGAAUGUUGACUGGUCCCGUCACAAUCCUUAACUGGUCUUUUGUCAGGAAUGACCAGCCGAGGUCAGUGCCUGUUGUUGAUAAUGUAAUCUAAUUUGUUCUGGUUGUGAAUGAGCAUUCUUUUCUGAGUCUGACAUUCAUACGCUGGCUCAGGUUUGAGACAUGCUACCAGAUUGCUCUUGCCAUCAAGAAGGAGGUCGAGGACCUUGAGGCUGGUGGUAUUCAGGUUGGUCCUGUUCUAUAAUUUGGUUCUCAAGAGAAUCUUGCUUACGUUUUUUUAAUGGUCCUUUGCAGGUCAUCCAAAUCGAUGAGGCUGCUUUGAGAGAAGGUCUGCCACUCCGCAAGGCGGAGCAUGCUUUCUACUUGGACUGGGCUGUUCACUCCUUCAGAAUCACCAACUGCGGUGUUCAGGACACCACCCAGGUAAUUUGCCUUGAUUACACUGUCGCUGGAGCCUCGCAUUGUCAUCGCCUAUCUUCUGGAGCUAAGAAAUUUCUCUUUGACAGAUCCACACCCACAUGUGCUACUCUAACUUCAACGACAUCAUCCACUCCAUCAUCAACAUGGACGCUGAUGUGAUCACCAUCGAGAACUCCCGGUCCGACGAGAAGCUGCUCUCCGUCUUCCGCGAGGGUGUGAAGUAUGGUGCUGGCAUUGGCCCUGGUGUCUAUGACAUCCACUCCCCAAGGAUCCCGUCCACAGAGGAGAUUGCGGACCGCGUCAACAAGAUGCUCGCGGUGCUCGACACUAACAUUCUCUGGGUGAACCCUGACUGCGGUCUCAAGACCCGCAAGUACAACGAGGUCAAGCCCGCCCUUACCAACAUGGUUUCGGCCGCCAAGCUCAUCCGCACCCAGCUCGCCAGCGCGAAGUGAGGAUAUCCAUAGCUGCAAGUUCCCUUCGGUUGCGAGGACGAUGCCGUCAUAGCCAUCUGUUUUUGAAUAAUCUGGGUCCAGUGGAUCCAAUUGUCUGUGGUUAGGUUUAGUCAGUCUCGGUGGGAAGAUCCCUCAUACCCGUUUUACUUUUGAAUCAAUUUGGUGGUUUUUGAGGCAGUUUGUCGGUGUAUUUGUAUUGUGUGUAAUCUGAGUGGGAAUCAGCAGUGUUUCAUCUGCAUCUGAAUCGUUGCGGAUCAAAUUACAAAAUUUUCAAGGAGAGUUCUUGAUGUUAUGGUCUUCCAACUACCUAAGUGUUUUGUGUCAGUUGUUCACCUGAGUUGAGAGUGGUUGAUUUCUGAUGAUUCCUUGCUGGUGGAGAUCACUUUGCAUUUUAUUUAGAUAUAAAGCCAGUCACUUGAAAUAGUUAGAUGUUGGGAUUUGAACACAUUGUUGUAAGCAUGCAACAUUAGCAAACUGUUCAUGGUCAUUUCUGGUCUGGUUGCUUGGAUCAGGACAUGAAAUGGAUUGAAAGUGGAACAAAAGUAUGCUUGCAAUGAGCAGUACCAUUUUGGUUAUUGUGGUCUUUGAGUGUAUGCAUUUGCAUUGCAGGUGGUGUUAAUUUACAUGUAAAUCUCAUUAGCUUAACAAAUACUGUACUUAAUUACAUAUCACAAUUGGCAAAUUCAUGCUCUUUUUCGUCAGAGACAUGAGAAGAGUGGCUGUCUUGCUUCUUUCUAGCUACCACGGUGCGACACGGGACAUGAGUCAUGACAAGCACCGUCGUAUGGGUCCACGCAUGAAUCUAUUAAAAACCUAUUAAAAACGUUUUCUUAUAAUGUGAAACGGGUGUUCCAUCGGUUGCUCAUAUUUCCUAAUAAAUUUAAACAGCUUAUUAGGGAAUAAAAAUUAUUUUAUACAUAAAACUUUUAUAUAUUUGUUCGUAGCGAAUUAAAAGUCAAUGAUAAAAAAAAUUACGUUAAAAAUAUCUCAAAAAUCAAUUUCCAAAUCAAGUUGAAAAUUUUAAAUUUUGGUUUAUUAGGCGAACCGACGGGGGUUUAUUGGAUCAUGACAUGUUUCAGCGUGUGGCCUUGACAAAGAUAGUGAUGUGCAAGUAGAAAAUCCAUGGAAAUUAUCGACGAGUUUUUAGUUUUGACCCCAGCACAGAGAUGAUUGGCUCUAUCUACUACUCCAUCUUUGGUGAAUCACAGCCAUAAUAAUUUUUUUUUCUGUUCAAAAUCUGAAUUUUGUGACUGCACUCCCAUUUUCACCCAAGUAAGUGUGAACUUCCCCUGAUUGCAACCUUGAAAAAAUGAAGUGCAUAUGCAUAGAGUCAGAAUAACAUUUCAUUAUCCACCAACCCCCAUGGGAGUUAGGAGCGCCUAACAUUUCUUCUUCUUUGAUAUCCACCAACCCCCAUGGCCCCACAUAAGUAAGCAUCAUUGAUCAACUCCCCUCUACCAUGACAUGAACACAUAAACUCCUGCCUAAUAUUCUCAACAAAAUGGACUUCCCAUGAUACAAAAAUACUCAACUUCAUGCAUGCAAAAUGAGGAGAUAUUUGCAGCUAAGGUGACCCCAUCAUGGUUGUUAAGAGUAGGAGGAGCACCAAUUGAAGGAUUUCAAGUAUAUUCCAUGUUCAUUCUUGAUUGGCACGAUCUAAUCAAGAUUCCAGUAGUUUCAAAAAAGAAAAAAAAAGAAAAUCAAGAUUCCAGUGAAGCACUUUAAAUUUCCACUACUCCUACUGCUCCAGUCUCCACAUGGUUUGCAUUGAGUUCUAAGAUAGUCAGUGCUCAGUACCAUGUUGUAUAUGAUGAACAUUCAUUUGCAUUUGGAGUUGGACAAAAGGAGUUCUGCAAAUGUAAACUGAGUUUCAGACUUUUUAUACAUUUCUGAUUUCAGUAACAUUGCAUCUACAGCAUAAACGAUCUGCUUAACUUUAUGGCUAACUUUAUACAUUGGUUGGCUAAACUCUUGUUAGAGUACUUCCUAAGUGGGAUUUGGUAUAAGUAAAGGUUCAUUGAAUCCAGACAUAUUGCAGACUAUCCCAGAUCGACAAAAAACUGUGGCUUGAAAGUUCAGUCACACCUCAUCUCAAGAAAAUUUCCUCUCCAAGCUCUUCUCAGGAUUCAUCAAAAGUUGGUUAAUUUACUGAACCCAAAGCCAGACACAAUUUUAUUUUUUCAAGGAGCUUGGAUCCAACACUGAUGUGAUUAAAAAACCCCAAACCUGGAUCAAAUAAAUCUUGUACUACUACAAUAGUACUCUACUGUACUAGUACUGCAACUACAAACAAGACACAUGAAGACAAUGUCACGUGAAGAUCUGCCAUUGGUCCGUGCUGCCUCCAAUGGCGAUAAAAAACUGUUUACUUUGUCGGUAACUGUAAUUAGCGACUGAUAAUUCGUGUUUACUUAUUAUAAGCUUGAGGCUCUAUAUGUUGCAGGACAGCAUGGACAGCAAUCAUGCAAGAACGUGCUAUCACAGUCAGUACUCACAGCCUCUUGUCCCUUUCUAUGGGAAUAUAAUAGUCCCUUCAAUUCUUUUUCUUAAUUUUUCUCCUCUAAAAUGAAUGACUGAAUUGUCUAAAUUAAGUUGUAUGCGAGAUUGUUUGUGCAGCAUUUUAAGGUAGACUAUAGUGGAGAAUUUGUUGGUGUUCAGUUUUCUCUUUUGAGAAAUAGUGUCAUCAGUAUGUUUUACUAGCUUGUACCCAAAAUUUCCCUACUUCCUUAUUUAUCAUUUAAAAUUGUCUCUUCCACUGUGUUUUCAUAAUUUUAAGAGGGUGGGUAGACAGGAAUCAAAGUGGUAAAGAGCUUUAGUAAAAUGUCUAGAUCCCUCACAGAUUCCUUCACAAAUUAUUCAAGAGGACUGAAUUCUCUGGAUACAAAAUAUUUCUUUGUUGAUCGUAUCUCAUAUCACAAUCCAUUGGAAAAGAUGGAGGGUAAUUCCAAAGGAAAAGUGUAUACUGGACUAAACUAAAUUAAACAAUUUUUAAACUUCACACAAAAUGAAACUAUGACAACCGUGCAAGAGCCUCCAGGCCACCAUCUCACCAACCACAGCCUCUCUCACCAACUCUGCUCCUCCAAUUGUUAAUUUAAGGAGAGAAUGACUUUUCUUUUAGCUAAUAACUAUACUAAUACUAUAUUUGUGCUCAAUAAUUACGUGACUUUCGGCACUAAAAAAAUGGAGUUACAUUUGUACAUGUAUAGCUAGCUAGCAUUAGCCCAUAAUACGAUGUGGUAAACCAUUAUUUAAUUUAGUCGUCAUGCCUCAUCAUGCAUAAACGUGGAAAAGGCAGACAAACUUUCUCAAAGGCAGCUUUUUUUGUUUUUGGUGGAAACACAAUUGGCUUGAGUUGGGUACAUGAUCAUAGCUACACACAGAAAAAAAAACUUCUGAAAUAAUCAGAUAUGUAAACCUUAGCUAACAAUAAACAAUUAUUUUUGAACAGCUUGGUCAGAAUAUAUUUUCAAACAACAGUAAUGAAAAACAGGUCAAACUUACAACAAAUAAUAUGAAAAAUAUUUCUCCAUUUUCUUGAGAAAACAAAUCAAAUCACAACCCACAUGUAUAUUUGAAACUACUAUUAAAAAUGGAUAUUUUAGCCACCGAGAUAUUACAUAAUAAUUUCUAAAUUAGUUUUCUAUGCGGCAAGAGAUGAGGAUCAUAAUCAUUAAAAGUAUGCAUAUUAUGAUACUAUGUUAAGUGGAACAAGUCCUAAUUUGUAGUGAUCCAUCAUUUAACCUGGACAAUUAAUCUCUACCCACACUAAAAUGGUGCAAGCUUAGCUACACAUCAUACACAGAAAAACACAAUAUUGCACAAUCUAGAGAUGCCGUAGACUCGAAUAGUCAUUUUCCAUGUAAAUAUGAUAUUAUAAUUAACUCAUGCGUAGGCUAAUGUAGCAAUAGGGAUAUGGACAUUGUCAAAAGUGGUUUAAAAGAAGGUUAAUUAUGAUGAUAUGUGGUAACUGGAGCACGACCUAAUUUACGGUGAUCAUCCAUAACUUAACAUUGACAAUUACUCUUACCGACAAUAAAAAAAGGUUCAUGACUAAUGAAAUACUACCAGAUUUGAGUAUUGUACUGCACAAGCUGGUGUACUUGCACGACACAAACUUGUUUUCAGAUAAAUAUCCCAUACUGCAAUACUUUUGAAUACAUAUUUUUGUAAAUGGAGAUGUCAUUGGAGCGGUCCGAAGAACUAUGAUGACAUGGUAACUCAAGUACGACCUAAUUUACAGUGAUCAUCCAUAACUUAACAUUGACAAUCAAUCUUACGGUCUUACCAACACUAAAAAGGCUCAUGGUGAAAUGAAAUGCUACCAUAUUUGAGUAUUUGACAUGGGACACCCCAUACCAACUUGUUUUUAGGGGGAAAAUAAAUAUUUAGGACUGGUUUUGUCUGGGGCUUGACCUUAACAAUUUUUGCUAAUGUUAAAUUUCGGCAUAGCCUCUUUUGACAAUGUAAUACUAUUAAAAAUACCAAAUAUUUGUAAGGCCAAUUUAGGCCACAAAUGAAACCAACCUGAAUCUCUUUUAUUAAUAUAUUCUUAUUCUAUAUCCUUUAUAAAUGAAUUUCCCUAAAAAAUUAGCCCCAAUCCUAUAUGCUUAAUCCAUAAAUUAUUCUAACCAUCAACUAAAAAAACCCUAAAAAAGUUUAUUCUUGCAAUUGCUCAUGAUACCCUCUUGUAGCUCAUAGGUAUAUUUUUUCUAAAGUUCAAUAUUGUCGACGAGUGAUACUCGCGGACCGGAUGAGUAGAGUAUUGGGGUACGUUGGAACGAGGGUUUACAUAGUACGACAUCAAAGCAGACAAAAGGCAAGGAUUAUACUGGUUCAGACCCUUAUCAGGUAAUAGCCCUAGUCCAGUUUAUAUGGGAUUGAUGAUGAUGAGAACAGAUUACAAAGAGAGUAGUCAAAACAGAUGAUACCGACGAGAUCGUAGUCGAGGGUUUCGACGAGAUCUCUCGGCAAGUUGGCUCCGCGUACUCCAGCUUCGUAAGCUUUGGUGGGUGUGUUGGCGAAGAGAUUCUGAUCCGAACCUCUCCCAAGGGGUCCCCUUUUAUACCGUGAGUCAUCUUGAUCCCCAAGAAAGGUUUUGAGGAUAUCGGACCUGGGACGGUCUAACGGAAACUUUAUCCCUUACGAGUAGAACUUUAUAAAUCACUUGACUCGUAAAGAUAUUUUCCUUAAUUUGAAGUAACUUCCAUACGACAUAUAUGUAAAUAAUCCGUAUACGUAAAGGUAUACCAUAUUGGUAUAUUUCACAAGUCGCAGGAUAGAAGGUAUGCCUUAUCCGUAACCCUGACAAAUAUCCCUCUUACUAACUAGAAAUAAAAUAAUUAGUUCAAACUCCCAAAAUGGUGCUAUCUAUAUAGACACUAUAUAUAUUACCAUUUGCAAAAAAAAAAAGAAGAAGAAGAAGAAGAAGAAAAAUAUUCCCUUCAUUUUUAUCUAGUUGACGCGGGUUAGUUCCAUUUUGCACUAACCAACAUCAAAUUUUUUAAAAAGGAGGGAUUGUAUAUUAUCACAAUAGUUUUUAAUACAUACAUGGGAAAGGCCAAAAGUCGCAUAACAACAAAAGGGUAAAUGUGCUUUUCAUCGAAGAAAAAGAAGUUCAAAAUCUACCCUUAGUCCAAAUGAUCAUGACAAACAAAAUAGGACAUAAUCCCUGCGGUUCCAUAAUUCUUGACGUCCUUACCAAUAACACAGGGCAUCAUUUUUUCGCUUAUGCUUAUAUUUAUCAGCCAAAAUUUGAAUUUUCAACCUUAAAUUUGGAGCUGAUUUUAAGGAUUUUUUUUUAUCGAAGUUUAUUUUUCAGCUUUUGCUUUUAGAUCGCUAAGAACGCACAUAUAAAAAUUUUAUUCACAUACUACUUUUCGUUUGCAAAUAUGCCAUUUCGCUUAUUCCGAGAAUAAGUGAAACAAUGGCUCCAAUAGUCUUUAAAAUAUAUCUUUGAUUAUGUUUUUAUCUUAAAUAUAUAUACAUAUAUAAUAAAUAAAUAUAAUUUUACUUUUAUCAUAAUAUUUUUGAAAAAUAAAUAUCUCUAUGUAUAUUGUUCUAUUAUAUUUAUAAACUAAAUACUUUUAAAUUAUUUGUACUUCUAAUUAAAUUUAUAAAAGUUUCACCUCGACCGAAUUAUGAAACCGUUGCGAGUAUAAGAGAAAACACAAUCUUAACAAAACAUUAAGAUGAAAAGGAUGAAACUUUUCAUCUUAAAAAACCGUGCACAAAACACAAUCCUAAUAAGUACUUCAUUCGUUUUAUAUUAUAAGACUUUCUACCAUUUCUUUUAUUUAUAUAGAUGUUAAUGAAUUUAUACGUAAUAUGAAACGGAAUGAAGUAGUAAAACAUUCAGAUGAAAAAGAUGAAACUUUUCAUCUGAAAAACCGUGCACCACCAGAUGAGCCUCUGCUUUCAGAUCUCACCAACCAACCAAAAAAAAAAAUCUCCUCUCUUCUUAUAUAAAUAAGGAACUCUCCCAAACCCCUCUUCUCCGUCCUCCUCCUCCUCCUCCCUCGCCGUCCGCCGCCGCCGCUCGCUUCCUCCCCUCUCCCACGGUAAGCCCGCGCCGCCGCUCUCUCCCUCUCCUCCGUCACCCUUCCCUUCCUCCGAAUCGGCCGAGUCUGUCAGCGACGGAGACCGCGCCGGGAUCCGUGCCCAUUCGCGUAGUAGCGGCGAGCGACGGUUUUUUUUUUUUUUGCCUGCAAAGUCGGUCGCUUUCGUGUGGCGUCGGGUCGGGGAGAAUGGAUCGAUCUGUUCGUCUUGAUCGGAUGGAUUGAUCGAUCAAUCGAUCUUGGUGGGAUCCGAUCUGAAUGAGGUUUUUGGGUUAGGAAAUGGAGUGAAAGAUUGGACUUUUUUUUUUGUCGGUGUGUUGCACGGUUCGUUUAGGAUUGGAUCUGUGUUUUCUUCCGUGGAAAAUCUUCCAUUUUUCACUGCAAGUGCACAUUUGUGGCCUCUUCAGUACUUGUGUUUCUAAACCCGGGGGGUUUUUGGAUCUGACACCGAGGUUUAGUCCGUGUUGUCAUAUGUUUUUUCUCAAAUUCUGUUACGAUAUUCUCCUAUUAUAAAUGCAUUACGGUGUACUAGACCCUGUGAUCUGUGGAGUACAUGUUAAGGUCGUGCUUCCAGUACCAUCGCAUCUACUGUCAUUUGGUUGCCAUCUCGUAUUAUUUGGUUAGGAAUUUGCAAUUGCCUGCAUGCUAAUAAAUGAAUUGUUGUUUGUAUGGCAUGCCAAACAAGAUCCAACUACUUUGCUGCUGGUGUGAGAGGGACAGUGUCUCCCACCAAUUGUAGUUGGUCUUAUGUACCCACCACUUUGGGCUGGGUCCUACUACAUGCUAGUGCUGGUUGGUGGUGUACCUAACCCAUAUACUAGUAUCAGUUUAGUCUAUUCUUUUAGCACCACUGGAUCUGGUGAUAUAGCCCCAUGUAUAGGAAUCAGGAAGAUUAGUAGAACAGAAAACACAAAAGUAUGCUUUAAUAGUUGGAUGGCAUAUACCUUUAUUCGGAUCACCGUUCCAAAUGUGACGUUAGUAUCCGUUAGUGGCAUGCUUUUUAAUCUAACAAGGCGUUCUUCAUCGUGUGGUUAGCAUAUGGAUAUGUGUAAUCUUGUUAGCUAAAUCAUAAUUUUCGUAUGUAUUCACAUGACAUUUCGAUGAAUCAAACUGAUCGUAGUACAAUUGUUUCUAUAGAAAGAUGGCGUCUCACAUUGUUGGAUACCCCCGCAUGGGCCCCAAGAGGGAGCUCAAGUUUGCCCUGGAGUCUUUCUGGGAUGGGAAGAGCAGCGCUGAGGAUUUGGAGAAGGUUGCGACCGACCUCAGGGCCAGCAUCUGGAAGCAAAUGGCUGACGCUGGGAUCAAGUAUAUCCCCAGCAACACCUUCUCGUACUAUGAUCAGGUUCUUGACACGACCGCCAUGCUUGGUGCUGUCCCAGAGCGCUACUCAUGGACCGGUGGAGAGAUUGGGUUCAGCACCUACUUCUCGAUGGCUAGGGGAAAUGCCACUGUCCCUGCUAUGGAGAUGACCAAGUGGUUUGACACCAACUAGUAAGUACUUUGCUUCCAUUUAAGAUGUCUGACAGUAAACAUUUUAUUUAAUUUUUAUAUUCAACAUUUUAGCUAACUGGUGCUGUUUACCUUUACAGCCACUUUAUCGUCCCUGAACUUGGUCCCAACACCAAGUUCUCCUACUCUUCCCACAAGGCUGUGAAUGAAUACAAGGAGGCCAAGGCGGUAAGAUAAUAGAAUUAUAUCUUUACAUCUCUGUCUGCUUAAUGAUUUUUUUUCUCUGCCUGACUAGAUGUCGCUAGCACAUUGCUUAAUGUCAUCAAUAUCCUAGUUCAUAAAGUUAUUUAUUAGUUUAUUUUGUUGCCUUUUGUUAUGAUGCUAAUUCAAACAUCAAGUUUUAGUAGUGAUCAAUUGUUUCUUAGUUGUGCAUUUAUAUAAUAAUUUUGUUUAGAAAAGAAUCUGAUGUAGAUUAAGUGCUGGCUUGUAAAUUAUGUUUUGGAAGAUUGUCACUUCCACAGAUUAAUGGCCUGUAAAUGACAAGCCCACCAAGUCAGUUCGUUUCUUUAGUGCUGUAUUAAUACGGCCAAACAAAUUUUGGCCCCUUGCUUAGAAUUUUGAAUGUAGCACUUUCAGAUUGACUAUGACUAGAGUUCACUUUAAAGGUUAUGAAAUAAUUUUUUUGCACUAUAUGUUGUUUUCAUCUUUUUUCAAAAAGCUGCCCAUGUUGAUCUGUGGCAAUAUUUUUUUUUUCUAAUUUCACAUAUUCUUUAUUGGUGAUUGGUGAAUUUACCUGAAAAGUUCUUUGAUUAAAUAUGUUAUCUUGUUCCAGUUUGUGAAUAGUGGCACUGCUGUUUCAAGCAUCAAAUUCUGAAUUUUGUUGUAGUCCUGAAAUGAAAAUCACAGUGCCCUAUUUAUUAAGAUGUAAUCUGGUUGCCUUAAUGUCUCCUAUGUAAUUGUUCUUCAUGCAGCUCGGCGUUGACACCGUGCCAGUACUUGUUGGACCAGUUUCAUACUUGUUGCUCUCCAAGCCUGCCAAGGGUGUAGAGAAGUCGUUCGCUCUUCUUUCCCUUCUCAGCAGCAUCCUUCCUGUCUACAAGUAAGUGUACAAACAAGUCUAUAACUACUGCUAGCGCUAAAUCUUCAGUUCAUAAUUUGAUGCAUGAUGAUUUGUAGGGAGGUUAUUGCUGAGUUGAAGGCAGCUGGUGCUACAUGGAUUCAGUUUGAUGAGCCCACACUUGUUCUUGACCUUGACUCUCACCAAUUGGCUGCAUUCUCUGCAGCGUACACAGAACUCGAGUCGGCACUUUCUGGAUUGAAUGUGCUUAUUGAGACAUACUUCGCUGACAUUCCUGCUGAAUCAUACAAGUAUGUUUAUUUCCUCUACUAUCGUAUCAUUAUCGAACCUGCCUUUCCUUUAUCAUUCUUCUUUUUAUAGUGGCAGAACACUGAAUACUGCCUUUUCACUGCAGGACCCUCACAUCCCUGAACAGCGUGACUGCUUAUGGUUUUGACCUUAUCCGUGGUUCCAAGACUCUUGACCUUGUCAAGAGUGCUGGUUUCCCCUCUGGCAAGUACCUCUUUGCUGGUGUUGUGGAUGGACGCAACAUCUGGGCUGAUGAUCUCGCCGCAUCUCUCACCACCCUCGAGUCUCUUGAGGCUAUUGUUGGAAAGGG